AAAGUACGUUUCUACCUCGGGUGACAGGGAGACAGGUGGUGCAUGGUUGUCGUCAGCUCGUGUCGUGAGAUGUUGGGUUAAGUCCCGCAACGAGCGCAACCCCUACGUUUAGUUGCUAACGCGUGAAGGCGAGCACUCUAGACGAACUGCCGUUGACAAAACGGAGGAAGUGGGGAUGACGUCAAAUCAUCAUGCCCCUUAUGUUCUGGGCUACACACGUGCUACAAUGGCCGGUACAGACGGACGCAAAGCCGCGGGGUGGAGCAAAUCCUAAAAAGCCGGUCUCAGUUCGGAUUGCAGGCUGCAAUUCGCCUGCAUGAAGUCGGAAUCGCUAGUAAUCGCAGGUCAGCAUACUGCGGUGAAUACGUUCCCGGGCCUU
rnacentral:rRNA from 1 species